rnacentral:antisense_RNA from 1 species
UGUUAUGGCAGUUGUGCGCGGGACACCUUCGGGUGUGCCGGUUUUUACCAGUCGUUUCUCCUCCGGUCGACCAACCCGCGCGCAACUGCCACCCUU